UCUCUCUCGCCGAUAGCAGCAGCAGCAGCAAUGGCCGCCCUCGCCGCCGCAUCCACCGCCUUCGCCGCCAAGCCGCGCCUGGCGCGCGCGCCGUCGUCCCCGGCCGCGCGGUUCUCCGUGUCGUGCUCCGCGUCGGGCAACAACGGCGGCGCCGGCGAGAUGGCGCAGUCGCUGGCGGCGUCGGCCAAGACGUUCUCCGCGGCGCUGGCGCUGUCCUCGGUGCUGCUCUCCUCGGCGGCGACGUCGCCGCCCCCCGCCGCCGCCGACAUCGCCGGGCUGACGCCGUGCAAGGAGUCCAAGGCGUUCGCGAAGCGGGAGAAGCAGUCCAUCAAGAAGCUCCAGUCGUCGCUCAAGAAGUACGCGCCGGACUCCGCGCCGGCGCUCGCCAUCAACGCCACCAUCGAGAAGACGAAGCGCCGCUUCGAGAACUACGGCAAGUUCGGCCUGCUCUGCGGCGCCGACGGCCUCCCGCACCUCAUCGUCAGCGGCGACCAGCGGCACUGGGGCGAGUUCAUCACCCCGGGCUUGCUCUUCCUCUACAUCGCCGGCUGGAUCGGCUGGGUCGGCAGGAGCUACCUCAUCGCCAUCAGCGGCGAGAAGAAGCCGGCCAUGAGGGAGAUCAUCAUCGACGUCGAGCUCGCCGUCAAGCUCCUCCCGAGGGGGUUCAUCUGGCCCGUCGCCGCCUACCGUGAGCUCAUCACCGGCAACCUCGUCGUCGACGACGCUGACAUCGGCUACUGAUCACCACAUGGAUGCUUGGCUACUCAAGCCCCAGGUGAGUUGAUUUGGCAGUGGAGGAAGAGGGCUCGUGCAUGGUGAUUUGUGUGGUUUGGGUGUAGAAGCUGAUAGGAUCAUGGAGGAAUGGAAGAUCUGUUGUACUUAAGAAAAACUAAGUCUUGUAUACCGUACCUCUCUCUUGUGUGUAUUUACCAUCUUAAGAUUCUUGAGAACAAUUCCUUCGUGCAAUUCUCG
rnacentral:misc_RNA from 1 species